rnacentral:lncRNA from 1 species
GACGGACAGAGAAAUAGUAACGGCGUCUUUUUGUAGGCGCUAACAACGCCAUGGUUACUACAGAUUCCCGGACAGAGAAAUAGUAAUGGCGUCUUUUUGUAGGCGCUAACAACGCCAUGGUUACAACAGAUUCCCGGACAGAGAAAUAGUAAUGGCGUCUUUUUGUAGGCGCUAACCACGCCAUGGUUUGUCGGACAAAAUGAAUGGGGCAUUGUAGAGCUUUUGGAUAAACACCGAAAUAAGUACUGGUCCCCCGUGGGAAUCGAACCCACAACCCUGGUGUUGCAAACACCAUGCUCUACCAACUGAGCCAUCAAUAAUAAUACGAUAGACCUCCGUCUAUUGGAUGAUAGCCUUCUCCUGCAUAACAUCUGUGCUACAUGCUUCUUCCAGUAUGCUCGUGAGGACGCCUCCUUCUGUCAUCAGAGCUUCCUGUAUGCUCGUGAGAACACCUCCUUCUGUCACCAGAGCUUCCUGUAUGCUCGUGAGGACGCCUCCUUCUGUCACCAGAGCUUCCUGUAUGCUCGUGAGAACACCUCCUUCUGUCACCAGAGCUUCCUGUAUGCUCGUGAGGACGCCUCCUUCUGUCACCAGAGCUUCCUGUAUGCUCGUGAGGACGCCUCCUUCUGUCAUCAGAGCUUCCUGUAUGCUCGUGAGGACGCCUCCUUCUGUCACCAGAGCUUCCUGUAUGCUCGUGAGGACGCCUCCUUCUGUCACCAGAGCUUCCUGUAUGCUCGUGAGGACGCCUCCUACCACCUCUGUCACCUGACAGACCACCUCCUACAGACCACCUGAACUAAACUCCUACAUCUGCUUCCCUGUCCUCUCCUUUAAAAACAGACAAUUCAAGACUUUACACCUGUUGUAUUGAUAUAAAACAAUAACUUUGUAAUUGGUUCACUUCUUCUUUUUCUACAAUGCCGUGCAUCUGUUGCAGAUUGAUGGGGGGUGGAUUCAUGCAAUGUAUUCUGGUAGGUACCGCCUCGGAUGACAGCGUCAUCCGUGAACGCUGUUGAAAGAGACAUUAUGACCAGAAAAGUAUCAUAUGAGUGAAAUGUAUUUUUAUUGAUAAAAGAUAGUAGCUGUAUCUUUAAUCAGAAUAAAAAAACACUAUUCAUAGUGUUCCUCUCAC